ACGCUGGCGGCAGGCUUAACACAUGCAAGUCGAGCGGAGAUGAGGUGCUUGCACCUUAUCUUAGCGGCGGACGGGUGAGUAAUACUUAGGAAUCUGCCUAUUAGUGGGGGACAACAUCUCGAAAGGGAUGCUAAUACCGCAUACGCCCUACGGGGGAAAGCAGGGGAUCACUUGUGACCUUGCGCUAAUAGAUGAGCCUAAGUCAGAUUAGCUAGUUGGUGGGGUAAAGGCCUACCAAGGCGACGAUCUGUAACGGGUCUGAGAGGAUGAUCCGUCACACUGGGACUGAGACACGGCCCAGACUCCUACGGGAGGCAGCAGUGGGGAAUAUUGGACAAUGGGGGGAACCCUGAUCCAGCCAUGCCGCGUGUGUGAAGAAGGCCUUUUGGUUGUAAAGCACUUUAAGCGAGGAGGAGGCUACUUAGAUUAAUACUCUAAGAUAGUGGACGUUACUCGCAGAAUAAGCACCGGCUAACUCUGUGCCAGCAGCCGCGGUAAUACAGAGGGUGCAAGCGUUAAUCGGAUUUACUGGGCGUAAAGGGUACGUAGGUGGUCUUUUAAGUCGGAUGUGAAAUCCCUGAGCUUAACUUAGGAAUUGCAUUCGAUACUGAGAGACUAGAGUAUGGGAGAGGAUGGUAGAAUUCCAGGUGUAGCGGUGAAAUGCGUAGAGAUCUGGAGGAAUACCGAUGGCGAAGGCAGCCAUCUGGCCUAAUACUGACACUGAGGUACGAAAGCAUGGGGAGCAAACA
rnacentral:rRNA from 1 species